GCCCUGCCUUUGUCAAUAUUUUGUCCAGCUACUGAACAGGACUCAGCAAUAUAACAUAUUCAUCAGAGGGCUAGAAGAGAGAGAGAGAGAGAGGGAUGAGGUCCAGAAUUUAUUUGCUGAAUCUUGAAAUGCAAGCCAUUCAAAGCAUUAAUUUGGGAGCGAGGCAGAAUGAGCAAACAUUAUGAGAGACAAAGCCUGCUUUUUAAUACACACUAGGCCACUUUCAUCCCUGACAUGACUCCACAGAACUCUAAAGAUUGCAAAGAAGACACAGCAAUAUGGGCCAGGAACCAGCCCCUAACAGGAUUCCUGUAGUUUUUGCAUUAAGGACCCUGGCCCCACAUCUUUACCCCUAUGGCCACCUGUGCUAGCUGGAUUAAGGUUAAUCCACAAUCACACCUUCAUUUUGUGAAGACACUGGCUUUUCAGUAAGAGGGAGGGAUGACAAUGCCUUUCUUUAAAGGUCCUGUAAAACCACUCUUCCAAAGAAUUAAAUAGGAGGAAGUGCUGCCUUUCUCAACAGGUUUUUGUUCUUUUCCUUUAAAUGGAGAGAAGCAGUGCUCCCAUAAGAUUUUUUUCCUGUUGUGUGUAUCUCUGUGAAAGUGUGUGCAUGUGUUUGUUGUGCUGAUGCACAGCAGAGCUGACAGACAGCUGUUUGUGGCUAUAAUCUGGUCAAAUGGAGUUCUUUAAUUGACAGCACGCAAAGUCUCAUGUGUGGGGUGAUUGUGACACCAACAGCUUCAUUCAUAAAAAGAUUGGUCCUGCUUUGCCAUUCCUUUUCUCCAUCACCAACUGGCCUUCUCUUCCCUGCUUUUUUCCUGCUUCCCCUCUCUCUCCGCAGUACUGAUAAGCUUCUUUCGCUAGCCCUUUCUUCUCUUUUGGCAGGAGUCCGGAUGUAUGGUUCUGUAGUAAGUGUUGGGAAUGCUGGAAAACUGGACAGCUUUUCAUCAUGCCCACUCUAGAAGACGACACAAGAACCAUUUUAGUGGUCAUCAUAUUAUGACUUCAUGUGAUUUUGCACUACUCAGGGCCUUCCAAGGUUAGAAACACAGGCUAUAUUCCCAUUAGGAAGAAAAGAUUGAUAGCUUUCCAAAAGCAAAAAGAUCCCUUAGUCCCGAUGGCUCAAAAUAUAUUAGAGCUGGUCAAAAAAUUACCCUGAAACUUCUCCCCUCCCCCUCAUUUUUUUUACUUUUAAAAGCUUUCCAUUCUCUGUGUGCCUAGACACACACAGAGGGACUAGCUGUGCGAUAAGUUGUGGAGCAGUGUAACAUAUUUAAUGUAUCUUGCAUCUCGAAUUUUCUCACAUGCCUGUUAAUCCUGUUCAGCUGGGGUUACUUCUAAAUCUCUGGACCCACAAGCAAUUUCAGAGUCACCGCUUGAAAGAAAGAGGCCAGUUCUGUUUUCAUCCCUCAGAUGAAUCUUGUCUAGAUGGAGUAUAUGUGCGUGUGUGUCCAGCAGGGGGAGUUAGUUUAUCCCUUUUUAAAAAUGAACUGGGGCUGCGUGCAAAGAGCACUGCAAGCUCGAAUCCCACAAAAUUUUUCUGUCAAACUUGUCAUUUUUCAAGUGAGUUGUAUGCUCAGACUAGUUUCAUCUACUGUUCCAAUUGUACUAGGUAGGAGAAUGUCAGUCCCUUCUGGCCAGUGCAUUGGAUAAAAACCUUUGGGUUAAGAGAAGGAGAAUUUCAUUUCCCAUUUCCUUUCAAAAUAUGAAGAAAGGGUUUCUUCCACUGUGCUGAGUCCUCGGAAUUAGGAAAAAAACACCCCAUACUGGCUCAGCAGCUGGCUGGCAUAAAAGAGGCGUCAUAUUCUCAGUAUUAAAUAUUUCUUUUUUAUUAAAUUAAUAUACAAGCGAGCAGUAUAGAGAUUCCUUCUACAUCUUAACCACACUUAGAGGGACUUAAGUUAUUAAUGCCAAAUAUAAUAAAAAUGUAUUCUAAUCUUGGUCAUGUUUCUGGUUCUCAUUUACUGUCUGCCAUCUUAUAUUUCUCUGCCUCUUUCUCUUUCCAGUUCCUCUGUUUAUAUUAUGAUUCUUGCUUGUGUCUCUCUGUCUCCAGACUUCCUCAGACCCCAUCCUUUUCUAAGAUUUCCUUUACUCUCUCUAUCCACCAGUUAGUUUCCUUUAAUUUUUUCCCCUUCUGUAUUUCUUCACUUUCAGUCUUUUAUUAAUGUUUUGAGAUAUAUAUAUAUUUGGUGGGAGAGGAGCCCUUAUUCCCUUUUCUCUGAUUUUCUUUAAUCUUUUCUUCCCUGGGGCCUGUUUCAUAUUCUGCUGAAAGCUGUGAGCAUCUUUUGCUGGACUCCAGUGGGGAAUGUGUCCAGAGGUGGUAUCGCCCUUCCUUUGGCUCCCUGAGCAGCAGUCAAAUAACUUGAAAUUUGUUUCUUCAAGAAAAAUAAGAGGCACAACUCCAUGCUGUACCUAGUCACAAUCAAGGACAGACAGUCCUAGUGCUCUGGAUCAAAUUCAGUCCAGACCGGAUAGACUAAAAAUCAUUCCCAUCUGACGUCCAGGAAGGGUCAGAAGUUAAAGGAGUACUGGCAGUCGUGAGCCAGUUCCCAGCUUGCGGAUGUAUCUAACAAUGUGUGCAUGUGGUAAUGUAACUUGAAGUUGGGGAGAAGAACGCCAGCCCUGGACACCAAUUUAGUGGGGGUUCCAGAAGGGUGCCCGCAAGGAGUCUGUGUCCCAGCAGCAGCUCUACCUCAGCAACAACUGGGGUGGGAAGACCACUCUGUGGCAGCAGCAUCUGGGCACUUUUUUUGAGCCCUCAGGAGCAGAUAAAGCUUUCUUCUUUCUGGCACUUGCAAGCACCCCUGCACUCCCACCUUGACAUCCGAUCCUGAAUAUCCUGCUUGUUAUGCCCCUCUGUGUGUAAGUGUGCCUACAUGCACGUGUGCUUGGCCAAUCUGCUCUCUUUCUUCCCUAUCAUACAUGGGGUCAUUCUUCAACAUGUUUGAUUUCCUUUACUUUCUUUUGAAGUCAGUGGAUGCUCUGCACCUAGUGGGAUUAGAUCCAUGUACCUCUUAUGGUAAAUCCAUGUGGUAAUAUACCCACUUAUCGGUUAUAACUGAAGAGAAGGAACAGGUUAGGCAUAGGAGCAGGCCUUAUUGUAACCAAUUUGUCUUUUGGCCUAGAGAAAUAGCUGCAUCAGAUGAAAAUCUAUCCAAUAUGUUGUAUUAACAUUUACAUCCAAUACCAAAGUCUUUGGAUGCAUUGUUUUGUUGUGUGGGGGAAAGUUACCGAGAUAGUCCAUCUUGAAAACCCAAAACAGAUAACACUGGUCAGUGAAACAUUAGAUUCCUGCAGAAUACACACUACAUUUACUCUGUCUUCCAGACCCCUCUGCUCAAUAAAGAAGAAGUAAAGUCUACAAUAUACCUGGCUGCUCCUGUUCAUUUUUCAGGGCCUUUGGCAGCAUCACAGGCAGAACCAUUAGUAAACUGCCAUGCAUUCUGCCAUUUAUAAUGUCUUAGGAAAGGGGAAAAAAAUUCAAGGAAAUGUUCCAUUUGCUUGUUAGUUUCUGCCAUUGGCUCAAAGUGUCAUAGUGAUAUUGGGACCACCCUUCUGCCUUCAGAUCCUGCAGAAAAAAAAUCUGGCAAAAUAAGUUUCUUGCUUUGGUCUUUCAUCUUGAACAAAUGGGUUUUGUUAAAAACAGAUUUAGUUUGUGUUCAGCAAGGGAGUGAUGGAUAAAUCUUCUUGUAAAUUAUCUUCCAAUUCCAGUAGCAGAGCUCACUCCUGUGAUGCCUCAGUAAGGUUUUUUUUUUACUAUACUGCAUAGAUACUACCCUUUUUUUUUUUUUGGUAAAUGUUUUCAUAUGGUCUUGUUUUAGGCUGUAUUUAAGGAGUGGUUAUAGAUUAUUAUAUAAUAAAUCUGAGAUCUGAAGGUUAUGCUCAUAGAAUUUUAUUUGCUUUGCUGAUGCUGUAUAGAUUGUGUCUGCCUUUCUGGUUCUGACUCUGUAACACUAGGACUAGAGUUUGUGGAAAGGUCUAUUAGGAGUCUGCAGUCGCAUAACUGUGGGCAGACGGCCAGGGCCACGAGCCCUGGCUGCCAACUUGUGGGAGGGUUGGUACAGGAACAGAGCAGCCACUGCUGCCACCCAGGGUGCAGAACCUUUUUGCCACAGCUACAGUCUGAUGUUAAGGGGAUAAAGCCAAGAGUAACCACAAUCCAGUUCCACUAGUAGGCCCUAAAAAGGGGGUGGUGUUCUAAGUUAGUCAUCUCAAGACAAACAUUGAGGAGCUGACGUGUGACGCAUGUGAACAGGUUGGAAGAUUUGGGGUUAUUUAGUCAAGAGAAAAAAGACCAAGGGAAGAUUUAUCUAUCUUUAAAUACAAAAAGGCUGUUUCUAAGAAGGAUGGUGAUUCUCUGUGUCCGCAGCAAACAGCACAAGAAGUAAUAGGCUUUAAUUGCCACAAGGGGCAUUUAGAGAGGGCAUUGG